rnacentral:misc_RNA from 1 species
AAAUCUCACAAAUGAACCAUUUUUUGUUUCAGCUUGUGGACUUGGAUUUGCGAUCGUAAAAGAUUGCUAAUCUGAAAUGAAUUUCAUGAAGCUUAACAUGCUUUGAAUCUUUGCUUAAUAGUUUUGCUUUGUCAAAUCUUUUGCAAUGGAUUUAAAAGCCAAAAAGUGAAUUGAUUUUACGAAAUCGUUUACCUCAUU